UGGAGGGUGAGUCUCUCUCUCUCUCUCUCUCGGGAACGGAUGUAGAUGAUGCGUUGGUAGACUUCUGAAAUGAUGCAAACAGAUCUCAAAUUUGUGAUGGUUGGGUUCUUCUUACACGCUGUCGACGGAAAUUCUGGCGCUUUUAGAUCGUAGGAUUUCGCCGCUCGAAUUCGAUGCGAGGCGGAUGAACAGAGCAGCUGCUUGCGUGAUGAUGAUUGGGUGGUCCUAGUUAACUAUUUAUUAGCCAUCUAAUUAAGGGAAUGGUGAUGGUGAAGCAGGUGCAAGAUGUAUCCGGACAUGAGCUACGCCGAGAACAGCAGCAGCGAGACCCUCGUCAUGGGCGUCGCUGCGCCUGAGACAACUGAAAAGAUGGAGGGAGGAGAGGUGGGCUUCGCGGGAGCGGAGAACGGGUGCAAGUGCGGGUCCAACUGCACCUGCGACCCCUGCACCUGCGACA